GUCAAACUUGUGAUCUUCCUAUCUAAUUCCUCCAGGGUGUUGAGGCCACAGGUGUACACCACCAUGCCAUGUCGGAUUAAUUGCCUUUUUUAACUUUUUUUUUUUUUUUUUUUUUGACUACAGAUCGAAUUCAGGACCUUUCUCUCUCCAGGCAGGAGCUUGUGCCACUGAGCUAUAUCCCUGGCCCCCGAGAUAAUUUAAGGAAUGGGUGAAUUAAUCUAACAUCUAAAUUUCUAGGCACCAGACCGUCUCUAGCUAGCAGCUACCGCCACCUCCCCCACAGGACUAACCUGGGGGCUAUUUGUGGUUCGGGUCUGACAGCCAGAGGCAGGUUUUAGUAGCGCCUUUCGAUUUGCCGCCACUUGGCGUCGCCGGUUUAACUCUAGUCUCUCACAGCGGGCUAAUUUCCGGGGCGGUGUCAUUGCCCAUUUAAGAGCCGAGAGCCCCGCCUUCGGGGCGGAGCUUGGAGGGGGCUUUAAGGGGCGGGCCGGCGAGCGGCCAGGGUCCUCCGGGGAUUAGCGCCGGGUGGGCGAGCGCGCUGUGCCGCCAUUUCUUGGCGUCCUCUGAGAAGCUGCCCCUUCCUUAUCCUCGCUUCGGGGUUUUCCUCUCUGGUUGCCGGUGCCCCGGGGGCCUCCUCGCCGUCGCACCGUCGUCCCCAGCCCAGAGAGACAAAAUGUUGAGCUUUCUCCGAAGAACUCUGGGGCGCCGCUCCAUGCGUAAACAUGCUGAGAAAGAACGACUCCGAGAGGCACAACGAGCUGCCACACACAUUCCUGCAGCUGGAGAUUCUAAGUCCAUAAUCACAUGUCGGGUGUCCCUUCUGGAUGGUACUGAUGUUAGUGUGGACUUGCCGAAAAAAGCCAAAGGACAAGAGCUGUUUGAUCAGAUUAUGUACCACCUGGACCUUAUUGAAAGUGACUAUUUUGGUCUGAGAUUUAUGGAUUCGGCACAAGUAGCACAUUGGUUGGAUGGUACAAAAAGCAUCAAAAAGCAAGUUAAAAUUGGUUCACCUUAUUGUCUACAUCUUCGAGUUAAAUUUUAUUCCUCAGAGCCAAACAAUCUUCGUGAAGAACUAACCCGGUAUUUAUUUGUUCUUCAGUUAAAACAAGAUAUUCUCAGUGGAAAAUUAGAAUGUCCCUUCGAUACAGCAGUGCAGUUGGCAGCUUAUAAUCUACAAGCUGAACUUGGUGACUUUGAUCUUGCUGAACAUAGUCCUGAACUUGUGUCUGAGUUCAGGUUUGUGCCCAUUCAGACUGAAGAGAUGGAACUAGCUAUUUUUGAAAAGUGGAAGGAAUACAGAGGUCAGACACCAGCACAAGCUGAAACCAAUUAUCUGAAUAAAGCCAAAUGGCUAGAAAUGUAUGGGGUUGAUAUGCAUGUAGUCAAGGCUAGAGAUGGGAAUGACUAUAGUUUAGGACUAACCCCAACAGGAGUCCUUGUUUUUGAAGGCGAGACCAAAAUUGGCUUAUUUUUUUGGCCCAAGAUAACCAGAUUGGAUUUUAAGAAGAAUAAAUUAACUCUAGUGGUGGUAGAAGAUGAUGAACUGGGCAAAGAGCAGGAGCAUACUUUUGUUUUUAGACUGGAGCAUCCAAAAGCAUGCAAACAUUUGUGGAAAUGUGCUGUGGAGCAUCAUGCCUUUUUCCGCCUCCGAGGCCCUGCCCAAAAGAGUUCUCAUCGCUCAGGAUUUAUUCGGCUAGGAUCACGAUUUAGAUACAGUGGGAAAACCGAGUAUCAGACUACGAAAACCAAUAAAGCAAGAAGAUCAACAUCCUUUGAAAGAAGACCCAGCAAACGAUAUUCUCGACGAACUCUACAAAUGAAAGCAAGUACACCAAAACCUGAAGAACUCAGUGUUCACAACAAUGUUUCAACCCAGAAUAAUGAGUCACAACAGGCUUGGGGUGUGAGAUCUGCUGUGCCUGUGAUUCCUUCCACAUCCUCUGGCCCUGUGCUGGUGGAAAUAGAGAAUCUUCCACGGAGUUCUGGAAUGGAUCAGCAUGACAGGAAAUGCUUUCCUCUGAAUAUUGAUUUACUACAUAACCCAGACUUACUGGAAACAAGCGUUAGUGAUAUAAUUGAGGCAGCAGACACCACAGAAACAUCCUCACCCCUGGAUGACAUUAACGCAGCCACCAGGCCGCCUGGCUUAGAGGAAGCUGAAGUUGAGUAUGGGAUGUUGAAAGAUGCAUCAGAGAAGCUCAAGCAGCUGGAGAUAGAGAACAGUCCUUUGCCAUCCCCGCGAUCCAAUGUUGAUGUUAACAUCAACAGCCAGGCAGAAGUGGUAAAGUUGACUGAGAAAUGUCUUAAUAAUACCAUUGAGAGCCCAGGAUUGAAUGCCACGAGAAUUCCUCCUGAUUUCAAGAGUAACAUUUUGAAGGCUCAAGUAGAGGCUGUGCAUAAGGUUACAAGAGAAGAUAGCUUAUUAAGUCAUAGAAGCACCAGUGUUCAAGAUGCUGCUACAAACAGUGCUGUAUUAAGUGAGAAUAAUGUGCCUGUCUCCAAAGAUUCUCUUCCUGUGACACAUAUCACACCUGUGGACAAGGAUGCUGUUCUAAAGGAUGCUACAGAUGAAUUGGAUGCCUUGCUCUUAUCUCUAACUGAGAAUCUAAUUGAUCACACAGUCACACCACAGGUGUCUUCAGCAUCCAUGAUCACACCCCGGUGGAUUAUCCCACAGAGCAGUGCCUUUUCUAAUGGACUUGCUGGCUGCGGAACGACUUUAGCAGAGAAGGAGGGAUGUGGUAGUAAAGAUGGACUCUCCCUGAUCUCUCCCCCGGCACCGUUCUUGGUAGAUGCUGUGACCAGUUCUGCACCAGCUCUGGCUGAAGACGCUGUCUUGAAGCAGAAGUGUUUACUGACUACUGAGCUCUAGGAGACUGCUCCUCCCAGCUGGUAACUGGAAUGCCCAGCACUCUGUAGCAGUCCGUCCUGGAAUCUGUUCCAGCUGGAAUGUGUUGAAUUCUGGAGUCUGUCCUUUGCAUUUGGUAAAAGAGCUCUACCUGCAUUUAACUUCAACUCCAUUUUAAAAGGCUACAUUUUCCGUCCAACUGGAAGAAUUUAAUCACCCUGUGUACUUUCCUAGAGGAAGGUAUCUGGUCUUUUACUUUCUAUAAUUCCGUUAGAGUUUGUAGUUCCUGAAUCAAGAGAUUACUUUCCCUGCACUUUCCUUCAAACUCUUGGCUCCACCUAGUGGUUGUAACUGUUUAGAACGACUUUAUAACCGGAUUGCCGCUGGCAGUCAUCACAACUGCUGUUUCCCUCUGUAGUAUAAGGGUAAGCAUUCUUGAUCUGAAUGCAUGUUAAAGAAGUUGUACUUUUCCAUGCAUUAAUUGUAAAUCAGGAAUUUAGAAAUUGGUGCACAUGCUACCUAGCUAGAUUUAGAGCCAGUUCUUCUUACAGUUAGUAUAAUACUAAAGAGAAGUUGAGAAUACAGAAGGUUUUUAAUGUCCCCCCUACUUUUGACUUCUUAUGAAGUGGCUAUCUUCCUGUGAAUUAGCCACAUAAACAUUGAGAACAACAGAUCGAUCAGUGUCCCAUCAUAUAAUUUUACAGCUUUGCUGUCCCACAGGAAGUAUUCCCAUGUACCACACUAACUUUGCAGCCUGACGGGGCAAAUUCCUAAUCAAGAGACCCUAGGCAUUGACCCCGGGCAUCCACCUACCCUCCUGAGCCAGGUGAGGUGUGCAGGCCAUUUUGGACUUCAGUAAUAAAGGCAGUACUCCACAUCGGUACCUGUGUGGACAUAGCUUCCAUUUCAUUUCUAUAUAAGCCCAAUACAUUGAGAGCUUUCAAACUGGAAAGAAAGAAGAAACAAAAACACCAAGACAGAGGUAGGGAACAGGGAUAAGGAUGACAGGAUUUUGUUUCUUAAAUGCCUACCAUGUGUGAAAUUCUGUGUCGCAUACUAAAAGACGUCACCCUGCAGUAGGGAUUUGGUUAGUUAAAAGACUUCUCAAGUUUUCCUCCGUCCCUUUUAGCCAGUACAAGAAUUUGUGGAUGUUAAAGCAAUACCUGUGCAUCACAGAAGAGUAUACAGAUAUCCACCUGUUAAUCCGAAAACUCACAAAUAACACUAAUGUAGCUUUCAAACUGUAGACUAAGAAGUAAGCCCCAGUUGCUAUGGGAAAAAACGAUCUGGAAACUAUGUUGGGAAAGUCAUCAGUCAUCAAGGACUGAGUUAAACUAUACCUCCUAGGAAUUGUUUUUUAAUUUUUCUGCCCUGAAAUGUGUAUAUGAUUGAGCAUUAAUUUGUACUACUCAGUAUAAAAGAGCAUCCAGUUAUGUGGUCUUUAAAAAUUUCAUGGUUUGAACUAUCUCGGGCUCCCUGUAGCAUACUUAUGUGUGGAGGGAACCACAGUAGGAUUAAACUGGAAACGCAGCAAUUUUAAUCUUGCACUGUUUCCCAGGGAGCUGUAUAGAUGGGAAAGCACUUUUCACAAAACAUUUUUGCUAAAGGAGAAAAAGUUGGCACUUCUUACUGGCUGCCUCCCCAUAGCCAUUAUGCUAAGCUUGUGAGUUCCAUUGGAUUGCUCUCGGCAGCCCUUGGUUAUACUGUAAAACACGCUUUCUUGCAGCUGUGGCACAUAGAACCUUGACCUGACCCAGGACGUGUUGAACUGGGCAUCAGUUUUUCAGUGCCUGACAACCCUGAGUGUCCUGAGGGGUCAGUGUUGUGUUCCUAACCGCAGAGCAGCUAAAGGCAUUGUGCCUUGGAAGACCUGAACUUCCCGUCCAGUUUAGAAGGUAGUACGAUGCUUAUCUUAAACUUUCCAAAAUUUAGGAGUUAAGCUGAAAAUAUUUCAUCACCUUUCUGUCUUCGGGUACCUAUAGUCUUGCCAAUCAAAAUAUUGAUAGGAACUUUCAUUUGAAUCUCCACUAAAAGUACAGUAUCCAAACAUGAAAUGGUAAAUAUGAAUGAUGGAUUAUCCCUGAUAGAUUAGAUACCUGACAGAUACAAGAUUCCUGUCACCUCUGCUGCCAGUGUUGUCCCCAGAGCUGCCACACUAGCUCAUGCUGUUCCGUUCCCCUGAGAACAGCAGUGGUGGGAAGAGGCAAGGCUGAGGAGCGCUGUGGCUGUGGGGGCAGGCAAGGGAAAUGUCUGUCUGAGAAGAGGGAAGCAUGUGCGAACCCGUGGAGGAGGCUGGCGAAGAGGCUGGAGCAGACACUGGGUAGGAAGGCAGCUGGUGACACUGGGCUGAGGUGGGAGGGGCCGGAGAACACUGCAGGCCUGCUUGAUGGUUUCGUGCACAGGAAACAGUGUUGCAGAAGCUGCUCCACUGUCUUUGCACAGGGAGCAGCCAGAAGGUCCUGGUAGGAGGACAGAGGGCUGUCAUGGAAGUUGAAACAGGAUGAGAAAUUGCGGGCAGGGGAUAUAGCUCAGUGGCACAAGUGCCUGCCUGGCAAGUACAACAUCCUGAGUUCGAUUCCUGGUACAAAAACAAAAAACACAAAAAAACCCCCAAAGAAACCAGAAUGAGAAAUUGCGGCUUUCUGCCUGGACUCUCUUUCAGCAAGUGAGUUCAUCAUAGUUCGGUUUGUCUGCAGCACCUCCUUUCUAACAAGAGAGGCUCAUAGUUAUUUCACUCCCACUCUUGGGGAGACUGCUGAGCAGCAGUGAGUAGGUUCCUUGUGUACUUGACAGUUUCAUACGUCAAGAAAAAUUCUUUUGAAAAAGUACUUCUUACAGUUUUACUAACUUUUUUGGCUUUUAUUUGCUUUUGUACAAUCUCAGAGGUCCUGUGGACAUGAAAGAUGAAAGCCUUGACUUUUUCUAGACCGCUUGCUCUAGCAUGCUUCUCAAUUCAAGCUAAAACUUGUAUUUCUGUCUUCUCUUAGCUAAGCCCUGAAAGUUCCACUGUCCCUCUAGAAUCUUUGGUAAUGGGAUUAUUUGCCAGUCACAUAAAGUCUUUGAUAUUUUUGUGAGUGAGGAUUUAGAAAGAGUUCUUAUCUUCUCACUCAACGGAGGUCACAUGCAUGUCCUCUAAAGGCUAGAGAUAGUACAUACUUCAGCACUCAGCUCUGCUGGCACAGCACAGAAGCAGCGUGGACAGCAAUACGCAUGAACGUGGCUGUGUUCAUUAAAGUUUUAUUUACAAAGCAUCCGUGUCCCUGAUUUCCAGCUUUGUAGAGUGGAUACCUAGAAGACAGGUGGGGGUUCAGAUGGGCUCUGCAGUGUCAUCUGUCACUUGGAGGCACCCAGCCCAUCUGGAUGUUGCAUCCUCUCACACCAGUGGCACAGCCAGACAGGGUGCAGUUUGUGGUGUUGAUUCUGUAUCUCUGAGAGCUCACUAAUUUCUGGUUAAUCUUACCAUGUAGUUGCUUCGAAACUUGGAUAAGUGUGUAGAGUGAAGAAUGCAUAAUUCUCGGUUAUUUAUCUUUUCUUUUCUCUCAAAAAUGUAAAUACUGAUACUUGAGUGAUCAGAGGAUGGUUGGAAACUUCCUGUACAUUAGCACGCAGAAUGAGGAAUAUGGUUUGUAUUAUGGAAGCUUUCCCUGAGCUGAAUUCUGUGUGUUGUUAACGUACUGGUAGAGCUGUGAUUCUCCCCCAGGUCCAGCGGUCGGAUCUGUCAGCCCCUACUUUCUCAUGCUUGAGACCAUAAUUCAGUCACUCUGUAGGAUUUCUCUUUAUCAGAGGUGUUUUUGUGUCAUAACCCUUUCCUAUCUUCAGAUCUGGACACAAUAAGUGGUUGGUUAUGAGGACCUCACUAACUAUUUUGUUUACUUUUUAUAUGUGUAAAGCUCUGCAGUAGCUUUGAAACUGUAAUUUAUUUUUCUAUCAAGUGCACUAUAUUCAGUGUGUUCCGGUUUUGUAUAACUUGUAUUAGAAUCACAGCACUAAACUGUGAGUUGUCUAUACACUGAAAUGAGAAGUGUAGAUGUGACCUCAUUCAAAUAAAGCUUUUGUGAGACACGUGGUGUUUGAGCUGUUUCUUGGGUGUGGGAUACCUACCUG
ensembl:lincRNA